GCGCCCGUAGUUCAACUGGACAGAGCAGCAAGUAAUCUCAGGCAAUGCAGGUUCGAAUCCUGCCGGGCGCACCG
rnacentral:tRNA from 1 species